GGUUAAAAAGCUCGUAGUUGGAUUUCUGUCAGGGACAGCGGGUCAUCGCUUCGCGAUUGUAUCUUGACUCGUCUUUAGACAUCCUCCCGGCGAACGUUACUGUGAUUCGUUUCGUGGUGCGGUUAUCGGGACUUUUACUUUGAGGAAAUUAGAGUGUUCACGGCAGGCUUUCGCGAUGAAUACAUUAGCAUGGAAUAAUAAUAUAGGACCUUGGUUCUAUUUUGUUGGUUUCUAGAACUGAGGUAAUGAUUAAUAGGGAUAAUUGGGGGCAUUCGUAUUACACGCGUCAGAGGUGAAAUUCUUAGAUUGCGUUAAGACGAACUACUGCGAAAGCAUUUGCCAAGGAUGUUUUCAUUGAUCAAGAACGAAAGUUAGGGGAUCGAAGACGAUUAGAUACCGUCGUAGUCUUAACCAUAAACUAUGCCAACUAGGGAUGGGAGGGCGUUCAUUUCUGACUCCUUC
rnacentral:rRNA from 1 species